rnacentral:pre_miRNA from 1 species
CAUCUGUGCAGGCUGGACCCACCUGGGCUGGUUGGGCAUGGAUGUCUUCCGGAGGCUCACCCUCAAGCAUGACUAGGAGU